CGGCCUCGCGCGGGGCUGGAGGCGGCCUGUGGGCAGCCACCGCCCUCUCCCGGCUUUCUCAGGGCGCCUGGGACACCGGCUUUCUAACAUUUUUACAGCUCAGCGAUUCUCAAGAGUUUUGUUUCUCCAGUGGAAGUAACAGGCUGACUUUGUAGGGACACGCAGCCGUCCAUAUAUGCGUAUAGCAUUCAGAGGUUCUUCCUGUAAGGACCGAUUUGGAAGACUCGUUAAGAAAACAGUGUUCUUUAAGCAAACAUUGGCAAUGGAUUUAAAUGCUCAGAUUUUGAAGAAAUCAACGACUGCAGGUGAAAUGGCUUUGCUAACUUUAAAAUAUAUUAUUAUUCAACAUUGAAACAGGAAAUCCCACAUGAGCACAUGAUAAAUACGACCUUAAUUUUCUACGUACUACCCCCAGAAUGCUGGAGGCAUCCUCUGUUGUUUUGUGCCCCUUACCAAAUUCUGGCCGUGUCUGCUUCAACUGAGAGCAUGUAUGUAUGCUUAUUGUUAUUAUAUUCAUACACAGUUUAAGAUGGUUAGUCAUAUUAUUAACCAUAAUUAGUUUCAUGAUCUAAUUAUCAUGCAUUUAUAUGGCAUUUUGUAGUUCCAAAAUGCCUUACAACCACUAAUUGUAUGAGGAGGUCUUAGUUAGAGUUGUGUGUAUUUGAUGAUGUCUAUCUUUGUGUACUUAUUAUAAACACAAUAAAAUAUAUGUUUUGCUCUAGAUUAAUAUCAAUAUUUAGGAUGGUGAUUCAUCUACCUGCUGUCUAGGUUUCAAGACACACAAGUUGGACUAGAAUUGUAACUGAGCAGAUAUUCCUAUUUCUGAUUGUCAUCCUAGAAUGCCUGCUGUGACUCUGACAUCAUCAAUUAGCUCAAUACAUGGGCACAGUCGGACCUGCCCCAAAGCCUGUGAUUUGAGAAAACACAAGAAAACCUUCCCCUAGCCUCCAAACCACUUAGGUGUGGGUACCUGAAAUUUCUCAGUUAGAACUUAAUGCCUUUAUCCCUUUGGCUUAAGCCAAAUAAGAAACUUAGUCCUUGUUAAAAUGAAAAUACUCUUGGGAGAUGUAACACAUCAAACUCUGUCAUUCAUUAGACUUCAGGGGGAAUGAAUUUGUUAAAUCCUUUUCUAAAAUGAAGUUUAAUUAGUGAAGACACAGAAAAAUCUAGAAAAUUGGAACCCAGUUGGGAUGGUGUUGAGAAAAGAGAUAAAAAUAAAUCUUUUUUUAACUUUUUAAUAAUAGUCAUUCUGACUGGUGUGAGAUGAUAUCUCAUUGUGGUUUUUAUUUGCAUUUCUCUAAUCAGUGAUAUUGAGCUUUUUUUCAUAUGCUUGUUGGCCACAUAUAUGUUUUCUUUUAAAAAAUGUCUGUUCAUGUCCUUUGUGCACUUUUUAAUGGGGUUGUUUGUGUUUUUUUCUUAUAAAUGUGUUUAAAUUCCUUAUAGAUCCUGGGAUAUUAGACCUUUGUUAGAUGCAUAGUUUGCAAAUAUUUUCUCCCAUUCUGUAGGUUGUCUGUUUACUCUGUACAAUAAACACCGAUG
rnacentral:lncRNA from 10 species